rnacentral:rRNA from 1 species
CCUACGGGUGGCAGCAGUGGGGAAUAUUGCACAAUGGGGGAAACCCUGAUGCAGCGACGCCGCGUGAGUGAAGAAGUACUUCGUUAUGUAAAGCUCUAUCAGCAGGGAAGAAAAUGACGGUACCUGAGUAAGAAGCCCCGGCUAACUACGUGCCAGCAGCCGCGGUAAUACGUAGGGGGCAAGCGGUAUCCGGAUUUACUGGGGGGAAAGGGAGCGUAGACGGCAGUGCAAGUCUGGGGUGAAAGGCGGGGGCUCAACCCCCGGACUGCUCUGGAAACUGUACGGCUGGAGUGCAGGAGAGGUAAGUGGAAUUCCUAGUGUAGCGGUGAAAUGCGUAGAUAUUAGGAGGAACACCAGAGGCGAAGGCGGCUUACUGGACUGUAACUGACGUUGAGGCUCGAAAGCGUGGGGAGCAAACAGGAUUAGAUACCCUAGUAGUC